UCGCCUGCCUGGCGGGCGGCGGCUCCCCUCCCCUGCGGUCGCGGCGGCGCGGGGCUCGGUCGGAGCUGAUGGCUGAUCCACCUCGUCCCCCAACGUCUCCGUUGAUGCCUGACCCCCUGAAACACGCACACGCGCCCUGUGCCCCGCAGACCUGGCACGGCGGAAGCAUUGGGUUUCGGUGGGACGCGCAUUGACCCGCACGUGCUUCCCGGAAAACCGCGGCCCCGGGUCCCUGCCCGCCGGCGUGCGGACCUGAAUGCGCGCAGGGGGCGGUGUGUGUUGCUGGGGGAGUGCGGGUUUUCACCCCCCGAGCCCACCCCACCUGGCUGUUUUCAGGUUCGACAAGAAUUGCGCGGUGGAUCCGCGGCCAGUGGCUCAUUCGCCUCACCCUAGUGCGACCCUGUCCUUCUGACUGAUGGAAGGAUGAGGAGUAAAGGUUGGCCAGGACCGCAGGCUGUACUGGGAACCACUUCACAUGCUCCAAGAGGACAACCUGAGUCCUGUCCCAGCACUGCCGCUGAUGCGCUGCGGGACUGUGAGCAAAUUGCUCUUCAUCCAUAAAGCUGGUUAACCAUAAGACUAUCCUGGUCAUGAAAUCCAAGAAGUACUUUGGGUUAAGGGAACUUGCCUCCCCCACUGGUAGGGGCUGCCCCUCUCAGUGGGUGCUCUGGUCCUUGACAACCAGCUCAGCCAAUCAUAACCACCUCCACUUGGUGGCUUGAUCCUGGACAGCCAAUCAGAGCCCUUCCCUGGGAUUCUAACUGGAGCUGAUGGAACCCUUUCCAUCCUGAGCCCACGGCUGGAAGACUUCCUCCAAGAGCUGCCCCCACUAGAGGGACAGUAGCUUGAGAGAUUGGGUACAGCGCUCAGAGAGAUGUAGAGAUGGAGAGAACAUGGAAGCCUUGGUCUCCCUUUUCCCUAAGACCAGUUCCUCCUCUUCCUCUUCCUGUGAGCCAAUAACAUUCCCACCUUUUCUUAAGAUACAGUUGGAUUUCUGUCUCUUA